GGCAGGAUGGCCGAGUGGUUAUGGCGGAGGGUUCAAGUCGUACUUUCCUGACGAAAAUUCAGGGCGCUUUUCCUCUGGAGCAAUCCGCAGGGGUUCGAAUCCCCUUCCUGUCA